AGAGUUUGAUCCUGGCUCAGGAUAAACGCUGGCGGCGUGCCUAACACAUGCAAGUCGAACGCUCUUCGAAAGAAGAGAGUGGCGGACGGGUGAGGAACACGUGGGUUAUCUACCUUGAGGUGAGGAAUACCGGCGAGAAAUCGCCGACAAGACCGCAUAGGCUCGUGAGAGCGAGCAAAGUCGCAAGACGCCUGAAGAUG
rnacentral:rRNA from 1 species